AGAGAUAGGCGAAUUGGGGAAAGGGGCUGAGAAAUCCCGAAAAGGCGAGGGCGGCAUGAGCGCCAGGCAAUCCCCCGCCGCCACUUUGACUUCUUCCUCCUCUUCUUCAUCUGGCAGGAGGCCAUUGUUGUACAGGCUGUGCAGAUCCAGCAGCAGCUCACCUCGCCCUUCCUGAUCACCUGCUCCACAAAAACAACAAUAAAAGUUGCAUGUUGAUGAUCCUGAAUAAGAUGGUGAAAGUGAGCCUCACCUUGAUCUCACCCUUGGAGCAGGGCUCGCUGCAGACCGAGCGCACCCCGCCACUGCGGUUGGUCGUCACGGCGUCGUCGUCGAUGCUGAGCACGCCCUCG